GCGGCCCGGGAGCGGCGGGGAGCGCGGCCCGGCCCGGCCCGGCCCGCCGGACCGUGAGGCGAACGGGGGCCCGGCCGGGCUUAACCCCGCUCGGUUCGCGAGCAACGCCCCCGUCCUGCUUGCUUCUUAACCCUUCCGACCUGCAUGCUGCCCUGUGACUCUGGGAGCCUCCGCUGCGGGGGUUGUGUGCUAGCGAUCUUCGUGCUCUUCUGGGAUGUUCGUCUCCACGGCUGAAACAUUCUUACUGCAGGAGUAUUGCUCUACAUAAUCCUCCCCAUAUAUCCACAUUGAAUCCGAACACUGAGCAGCAAGCCGAAAAGACUCACGCUGGAUGGUAAGUGACAUAGAUACUUGAAGAAAUGUUGAGCUGGAAGCUCAAAGAAAGCUUCAUUAGAUAGAGUUUCUGAAGACGGCUGGUCUGAACACGUUUAGCACAGUCCAGACAAGGGAUGGACAGCUUAGAAUCAGAAUCAGAAAAGGGGCCAAAAAACUGCACUCUUGAAGUACUUUUUCGCAUUUAAUACCAUGUGAAUUUCAGUUUAGCAGUUUACUAGAAGGAAAACUGUAUAAAUAUGAAAUUUUGCAUGUCUUCAAGUGAGGUGUUUAUCAAAAAUUAAUGAGUUCCCAUUACUUACUUUAGAACCUAGAUUAAGGCAUGCUUGUAUUUAUGCCUUCAAAAUUAUUUAACUGAUCAGUGACACAUAAGAAGCAGUGCUUUGUGAAAUGAACUUUUUAAAUGCUUUUAUUUCUGUACACCAUAUGCUUUUGAAAGCUCGGUUUUGAAUAGCUUAAAAUUAAAUACUCUUAUAGGAUUGAGAGGUGGAAUCCAGUUCAGUGACUGCUCAUCAGGAAACUAAUCCAGAAAUCUUUAACUCUACCUCUAUCAUUGUGAGUAGACAGGUUUCUAUAGCAGCCAUUUGAAUUUGGAAGCAGAUAAUUGAACACCAUCCCGACAAACCCAGAAUGUUCAGGAAAACACAAUAAACAUAAACUAUUAAAAAGAUACUUGUUACAGGAUUACUAGAGAGAUUGCAAUUUCAGUUCACAAUUUCAUUUAUGACAUUACAGAAAAGAACACCUUAAAGUAAAGUGAUGGCUUUGUAUAUUCCCAGAGACUGCCCUUUGUACUUCAUAUUCUAAAUGGUGAACUGUAAAUCUAUUUAUCUGAAUAAACAGGAACACUUAAAUGAUGUUUCAUUUUUUUCAAAAAUAAAAUAAGUGCACAAUUACUUGAAAUCUCUC